UUGACUAACAUUGCUUGUAUCCAUGUGUAAAGAGUUGAAAUCUCCUCCAUCUCACCUUUUGCUCAGACGUUUCAAGAGGAAACAAAUUCUCUGAAUGGAAGCGGCUAAGUUGAGUAUGGGGAUAUCUAUCCUCUUCUUUUUCAAGCUUAAAUAGUAGGAUUUUAUACUUGCGUCUUCCUAAUUUGGUUUGAUUAACUCAUGGAUUUAUUAGAGAGAAAGAACUGUACAAAAAGAAAAGGACAAGGAAAAUAAAAGAAGGGUUAUGAAGCAUAGGAGAGAGCGAAGUAGAAAUCCAAAUUCCAAAUGAGUAAUCGCUGGUAUCAAGUUGUUAGAAAUUGAUUCACUUCUUCUUAAACUUGCCCCUAUCUGUCUCUUCUCAAAUCUCAUUUUUAUGACCCUAAUUUUCUUGAAAUUGAUCCCUUUUUGAGGUGAAUUGCCAUUUAAAUAAUUUGGAAGAUUCUAAAACCCCUUUAGGUACGUUUUAUUUUAUUGCUUAAAUUCAUUUGUGCUUUUCUGUUUCUUUUCAUUUUUUAUUGCCAUGCUUAUUCAUUUUUGUUUUCACUUCUUUUAUUGUGCAUUUUCUAAUUAUUGUAAUAUUUUAUACUUGCAUGUUCCUAAUUUCUUUUCUGGCCAUUAUUUGUGUUAUUUACUAAUAUAUGCAUUUGGAUUGCUGCUUAAUUGUCUGAUAAGAAGGGGGACUAAAAAGUAAAAGGGGCAGCAGAGAGAUGCAAAUUAUUUUGUAAUGAUCUCACAUAUUGUUCAUUGGUUCGGCUGUUCCUUAAAGCACUCUCGACUCUGAUGUUAAAUCUUUAAUCCAUGCUCUUUUGUAUCUGUCCAAGAAGACUACAAGUCCCCAGCAAUUGUCAAUGUCUUUCAUCAGCGUUUUUUGUCUGUCAUUGAUCGCUGUCGUUCACUGCCUAGCAUAGAAUUGACAUCAAGAUUUUUGAAAUUAGUUGUUGCACCAAUAACACAGAGCUUUUUGAUUUGGUUGCUUUUCAGAUGCUAAGAAGCCCAAGGCUGGAUAAGUUUAUUUUUUAUGGUACUUUGAUGACCAAAGCUAAGUUUUCUGACGGCGGAGUUGAGAGGCUUAGCAAUGAUUUGUCAAUUUUAUUCGGGGUGUUCGGAGGUGUCCGUGGCUGUAGACCUCCACUUUUUACUAUUCGAACCAAAAGAACAUCCCAACUGCUAUGGGACAAUAAUCAUGAACAAUCUCCUUCAGGUGAAUUGAUCCGAACAGAUUCGAAAGGUCGAUCUGGCAUUUCACAUUAUCUGUUCUUUUUCCUGUUGACGACUAUGGUGACCUUUCUCAACUCCUUAAAGAGCACUGACAGGCUGCUACAGAGCUGAAAUUGUGAUAACAAUGCCAAAUAAAUGAACUGUGCUUCCAGCCGUCCACAUCAUGAAACCCAUCAUCAUCAAACUCUUGAAAGGUCAUAGAUUCCAUCCUCGGGUAUCUCAAUAUAACUUGUGACCCUGCAACGUUUAUUCAGGUCAACACAAAUUCAUCGUCGUUGAAUUCUACGCUCCUUGGUGUGGUCACUGCAAGAAACUUUCUCCAGAAUUUGAGAAAGCGGCGCAGGUUUUAAGCCGGAAUGAUCCACCAAUUUUUCUGGCCAAAGUUGAUGCCAAUGAGGAAGCAAACAAGGUUCUUGCCAGAGAGUUCGAGAUAAGAGGUUUCCCCACAAUUAAGAUCUUGAGAUAUGGAGGUAGCGUUGUUCAAGAUUACAAAGGACCACGUGAGGCAGAUGGUAUUGUUCUUACUUGAAGAAACAAAGUGGUCCUGCUUCUGCUGAAAUUAAAUCUUCUGAGGAUGCAGAUGCUGUUAUCGAUGUCAGUAAGAUCAAUAUUGUUGGUGUCUUUCCUUAGUUCUCUGGGGGAAAAUUUGAGAAUUUUACAGCUCUGGCUGAGAAAUUGCAUGCUGACUAUGAUUUUGGUCAUACUUCGGAUGCUAAACUCCUUCCUCAUGGGGAUUCAUCAGUUUCUGGCCCCGUGGUUAGGUUAUUCAAGCCCUUUGAUGAGCUUUUCGUAGAUUUCCAGGAGUUCGAUGUGGAUGCCUUGGCAAAGUUAGUUGAAGAAGCAAUUAUUCCUACUGUGACUGUAUUUAACAAGGACCCCAACAACCAUCCAUUUGUUAUUAAAUUCUUCAACAAUGCAAAUGCCAAGUUAAAUGAAGUGAACAAGAGGAAGAGUUCUCGGUGAUGGCCCUAUCUAAAGCAGUUGUCCCCACAACUAUCAUACACUUGCGAAAAUUUGAAGGUAGUAUGUUUGCAGGGAUAUGUUAACGAUAAUCUCAACUUCUCUGAAAGGAGCUCAAAAAAAGAUGCAUUUGCUGCAAGUUUAUAAUAAUUUCUAGAAGUUCAAAUGUAUUUCAUAGUUGGAAUACACUUUCGUCAAAGAUCUCCCUUCGGAUUGGAGAUUUCAAAAUAGGAUAUAGUUUCACGUUUUAAAUUCACGUGAGAUAUGAGGUUAUGAGAAAAGGAAAAAUAUGAAAUCAUAUAAGUUUUUACUUGCCUCAAAUGUAUCAAUAGAUGCGCUUAUGCAAUUUUAGCAGUAAGUUCUAUCAAAGAUAUAUUUCUUUGUUUUGUUUUUA